CUAAUUCUCAGAGAAAACAGGUGUUAUCAGAUGGGAGCUCAGAAUUUUCCCUCAAUUACUGUCUGCAUCCACUUCUGUUCAAACAUCCUUCCUUUGUAACUGUCCAGGUGCUCUGCACCUAUGCUUUCAUAUCCCAUUCCCCGGGAACCUAACCUAAGCUACUGCUCCCCUAAGUCUUAGCCCCACACCUCCAGAACUAUUAAUACUUCCUUUCAGAAUACAAAGACAGUAAAGCCUUUGUCAUAUGAAUGGCAAAGAAACAUAAUAUGCUCAUUAAAUCACAAACCAUUUGGUUCAGCUAUUUUCCUACUUUUUCUUUUCUUCAUAUCUAGGCUUUCAAAAAAAAAAAAAGAAAGAAAGAAAGAAAAAAAGCUCCACUCCUCCUCCAGCCAAGGCUACCUGGCUUCAGUUUCUACCAAUACUGCGUUUCUCAAGGAGAAGCCAGGAUAAAUGGACUUGAGGCCACGAGGAGCCAGUGAGUGGUGCCUGGAACACCGUAUGAUGCCCAGAGGAGCCCAGCAGUCAUGCUCUGACAGCAGCAUAUGGUGCGCACUGGAAGAAGGGGAAAAUAAGGUCAGGAAGGCAGACUGGGAGCUUGGAUUCGAGGCUGAAGAACUGCCAUCAAAUGUUUUUGAAAGGUGUGAAAUAAUCAAAACUGUACUCCAUGAUGAUUAAAGCUGGCAUAGUGUGAAGGUGUCAAGCCUGGGUGACUGGGAAAAUGGUGGUAUCAUUAACCCAAAAUGAGAACAUGAAAAUCAGGUUUUAUGUGGAACACGACAAGUUAGGUUUUAGAUGAAUUGAUUUUGAGGUACUGGCAGAAUAUUCUGUUUUGUUCAGGAAGUAGUUGGAAAUAUAAAACUAUAAAGUCUAUUGUUUAAUUCAAUUCUACAAAGAUACACUAAGGACUACGUGUCAGGCACUGAACUAGCCCCAGCCCUUGUUCCCAUGGGACUUAAAUGUAAGAGCAAGUUCAACACAUAAUUAAUGACUACCUGUAUGACGAAUGUUACACAAAAUAAAUCAGGGUGCUAUGAAAUUGCUUAAUACUGAGGCAAUAGAGGUGAAGAGCUAUAGCUAUGGUUGCCUAGUGAUGAUUCCAGGGGUUAUUCUUUGAUACCUGGAUUUUUACUUAAAUUUCUGAAGAUAUGUUUUAUUUGUACCUUAAACACAGAACCAUAUAGAUAUCACAGUAAACUGUGGAAACCUGUGUAUUCUCAUUUUGAGCUUUAAGGGUUAAAGCCCAUCUCACUGCUGCCAACCUUGCACAAAGUAAUUUUUACCAGGCUCAAGUUCUUUGUUCAUUUCUAACAUAAACUUUGUGUUCAAAGUACUAUAAGUAUUCAUUACCUUUGUUUCAUUUUAAAGGAGAAAUGCAGAUUUAUUCUGCCCAAAUAUAAUGUCCUUCCUUAUUCCUUCCACAGUGAGAUGUAGCAUCCCAUUAGUAUUAAACACAGAGGAAAUUUUAAAAUCCUAUUCAGAAUAACAGCAACAUUGUUUUGAAAAGGAGGAAGUCAGCAAGGAGAAUAAGGCAAAUCUGAAUGAGUGAAAAUUGGUGAAGAAAAAGAAUUGACAUAUGCUUUCAGAAGAAAGCAAGUAUGAGAAAAAUGAAAGAGGAGACAACUGAACUUUCAAUGAACUCAUUAACAAUUGUAAAAAAACUGGAGGCAAAAAUGUGCUACAGUCUCAAGAGAACAAUGAAAGACUCCCUCCCCCCGCUCCACAACUAUAAAAAGCUGACAAAAUGAAUACACGAGCCCCACAGUAAAAGCUGAUAUUAGGUAACUUUGAGAACAACUUUAUUUUAUUUUUAUUUAUUUAUUUUUUUGAAAGAGAUGAGUCUGUCUCUGUUGCCCUAGGCUGGAGAGUGCAGUGGCACAAUCAUAGCUCGCUAUAAUAAUCUCAAACUCCUGGGCUCAAAGGAUCCUCCUGCUAAAGCCUCCUGAGUACCUGAGACUAUACCAUGCCCAAGUAAUUAAAAAAAAUUUUGUUUUAUAAAGACAGGAUCUCACUAUAUUGCUCAGGAUGGUCUCAAACUCCUGGCCUCAUGCAAUCCUCCCACCUCAGCCUACCAAAGUGUUGGGAUUACGGGUGUGAGCCAUCAUUCCUGGUCAAGAACAGUUUUAUUUAGGAAACAAGAGAUACAUAAAAUAAAGAAUAAAAAAUUUAAAUAUGAAUUAAGACACACUAGGAACUAUCACUUUGAUUGAAUGCCUAUGUGCUAGAGUCUGUAUGGAACAUUUUACCUAGAUUUUCUAAUUUAAUUCUCACUCCCCUCUUUCAAAGUAGCUAUUAUCUAAUCCAUUUUAAAGUUAGGGAACUUGGAGCUCAAAAAGGUAAAGUAAGGUGCCCAAAGCCCUGCCAUAGGGUGGUAGCAGAGGGGAGAUUUGAUAUCUUUCUGAUUCUAAAGCUCAUUCUUUCCACUAUAGACUUUUAUUGAGAGAGGUGUUACAUGAAAAUUGAUAACUAUUCAGAUCCUUAGGUUUGCUGACUUAUAUUUAAAGGUGUUUUAGGAAAUGCUUUAAGGCACAAAGAGGUAGUAGCUUUCAGAGCAGGAAACAGGAGCAGGCAAGCACAAGCUCGUUUCCCCAAAUUCGACGGGAGCUUUCUCCCAGAAUCUGACAAUAAGAGAGAUGCAGGUCAUUCACAGAUGCUCCUUCCUCAGAGAGAAAGACCAGAAACACUCCUCCUCCUGAGACCAGGAGUAUCUGAAAAUAUUAGAAUUACUUCAAUCUGCCAUGGCCUCCUGACUCCUCCUUUCAACCUAGCCACUGGGGAUUGCUGUAGUUGGGCUAAAACUUUGAAGGCAGCUAAACCACCAUCACCAUCAUUCUUAGACAACAGUGUCCUUCUGAUCUUUAUUUCCUCCAGCAUUAUUAGCAUGAACAAUCUCUCUACUACCUCAAUUUCUUCACCAUACACUCCUUUCACCUCGUUCUCUUAAUUGAAAAUGGGCUCUACUUGGAAACUGGACAGAUGAUCUCUGCUCACCCCUUCUGGUAGAUGUUGCUUGUUCCCCUCCUAUCUCACGUGCUUAAAGUCUGCAGGGCACAGGUGGAGGACAUGGGAAUGUCUGCUUUCUCCUUGAUCAAAGCUGCUAUGUCAGGCUGUCACUUUUUUUUCCUCAUGUAAAAAGCACCCGCCUUUGAGACACAUGUCAUUCAGUUACACUGCUGCCAUCCCUCUGGGUCACUGUCAUCUAAUCACGCACAAGUCUACCCUCUCAUUCAGAAUAAACUGUCAAUUGAGUCAGUCUUCCUCAUCAGGCCAGGCUCUGCCAUCAUCUUGUGAGAAUUCAGUUUAAUGUUAAUAUCUAAUCCAACACCAGGUCCUAAGAGUUCCUUGACCUCCUCCUCUCCAGGGAGCAAUCCCUUCUACUUCCCAUCACCGACUUCCUUGGCCAUAAUCGAAAUCUUGUCACUACCCAGAGCUGUUUUACUUCCAAUAACUUGAAUUCAUACAACCAUUUUCUGACCCAUGUCCUUUUCCUCUCUCUCUUUUCCUGUCAUCUACCCAUGAAAAUCUCCAAUGCCCUGGCACCACUGUUUUCAUAUCCUUGACUAUCUAGUUUAGACUCUGUGGUGCAUCACUUUGACCAUGGUUCACACGCUGGUAUCUUACUUCCCUCCUUCAUUCUCCUACUUUUUCAGACUCCCACUAAAAUGUAAAUAAGCCCCAAACUCCAUCUUCUUGGCAUUACUCCAGAUGCUGAGUAGUGCCGGUAAGAAACAAUACCACAGGAUCUGAACUAGUACAUAUGUGCAACUGCUACCUCAAUUGGAUUCUUAAUGCUAUUCAGCACUCCUCUGUGUUUCAUCAGGAGGCUCUCCCACUCCCUGAGAGGGUUUACAUGCUUACACACUUCACUCAAGCCUCCCAACCAACCAUGGCCCUUCCUCUGCAAAGGCCUUCCUUUUAGAUAGAAAACAGGAACCACUUGAUGAAAGCUUCCUUAACUUCCCACCAUCAAACCUACAAAUGUAUCUGCACUUAGGCCCAACAUUUCCUCCUUUCAAUCUAUCACAAUGGCAGAGCAUGUGGAUUUCCAAGACAAUUUCCUCUACCUGUGCUAGUAUCUUGUUGUUCUCCACCCCUCCUGCCGCCCUCAGAAGUUUACUCCAUUGAUUGUCAUUCUCUUCCAAUUGCCCUCCUUUCUCAUUCCUCCCAGUCUGCAUUUAAACAAAUUAAAACACCUGCUUUGUCCUCCCCUUUGACUUCUAAAUCCCCUGUAGUUACUACCCUUUCUUACUCAUAUCUCAGUCUCAUCUCCCAUAUUCAUUCAUUAACUCUUUACGCUAUUCUUUGAGCUAAAGUCAAUGGGAUGGCUGUUAGUUCAUUACAUGAUUCUUUAGCAGUAUUUGAUUGUGUUGACUACCCAUUCCUUUUUGAAAUGGUCUCUUCCUUGGGCUUCAUGAUACCAGACUUUCUUGGUCUUCCUACUACUUUCAUGUGACUCCCUUGUCAAGGUCCUCUUCUGGGAUCUUCUUACUCUGCUCAUUCUUACACCAUUCCUUGAAUUUUCCAUUGGUGUUUUAUUCAUUCCAUGGCUUCAUUUACUGAAAACUCCCAAGUUUUUAUCACCAGCAACAAGCGCUAUUCCUGAGUUCCAACUAGGGUGACCAACCAUCCUGACUUGCAAGACUAAGGGGUUUCCUGGAACACAGGACUUUCAGUGAUAAAACUGGGAGAAUUAGGCAAUCUGGGAUGUGUUGGUCAUACUAGCCCCUUCCUACUCACUAGACAUGGUAACCUGGAUGUCCUAGAGAUACCUCAAAUAUAAUACAGACUGUUCCCAACUUACAAUUUUUUGACUUUACAAUCAAGCAAAGCAAUACACAUUCAACAGAAACUGUACUUGACUACCCAUACAACCAUUGUCUGUAUUCAAUAAAUUACAUGAGAUAUUCAAUACUUGAUUACAAAAUAGGUUCUGUGUUAUAUGAUUUUGCCCAGCUGUAGGCUACUAUAAGUGUUCUGGAAUGUUUUAGGUAGGCUAGGCUAAGCUAUGAUGUUUGGUAGGUUUAGGUAUAUUAAAUGCAGCUUUGACUUAAAAUAUUUCCAAAUUAUGAUGGGUUUAUCUGGACAUAACCCCAUCAAAAGUUGAGGUGCAUCUGUAUAUACAAACUUGAAUUACCAUUUUCCCCAAACCUCUACCUCUUAUUGUGUCCCUUAUCUCAGUGAAUGGCACCACCUACUCAUGUCAAAACACUAUGAGUCCUUUUUAACAACUGUUGAAGGUAAAUAUAAUAGAAGGAUUUCUGUAUCCCUAAGCACUGAGUUUCCAGUUACAUUUCCUAUUAGGGGAAUAUUCAAUAGGAUUCUUAUAUAGCCUGUCAGCAAUUUCAAAUCUUCUUUAGUGAAAAAAAAAAAAUUAAAAAAUGUAUCAUUCAUUUGAAAAGUUACAGAUCUGUUGGAUAGUGCCAGUGGUGCAAGAUUUUUUUCUUCAAUGCCACAUCCUUCUACUGUCCAAGUUCUGAUGCGAAUUUUGAUCACUAUCUAAUCCACUAUAAAUAUCAUUUAUUUAUUUAUUUUUAUCGAGGCAGGGUCUCAUUGUGUGGCCCAGACUGGUCUCAAACUCCUGGCCUCAAGAGAUCCUCCCACCUCAGCCUCCCAAAGUGCUGGGAUUACAGGAACCAGCUACCAUGCCCAGCCUAGUAUAAAUAUUCUUCUUUAAACAUUUUGGAAUAUUUCUAACAUGCUGUUUAGGAAUGAUUAAUUUUCCUUCCCAAUAAGCUGAAAGAAAGACAUGUUCCUCAAGCAAUGAAACUCUGGAAAACAAUUUGUAUUAACUUGUGAAUGCCUCAGUCUGCAAGACAUAGUACAUGCUUUGUAGGUCAUUAGGAAACAAAAUGGUUGUCUUUCAUAGUUCAUUCUGUAAAUGGCCUGUGGGCCGCAGUUAGCUCCACACAUCUCCUCACUCUGUGUGGGCUCCAUCAAAUAUUGCCUUUAAAUUUGCCUGGACAACUGCACAAAGGAGAAUGAACGAAAGCUUCAGAUUAAGAAUGUACGAGAAGCACAAGACGCAAGACUCUUCAGGCCAAAGGAAGUAAGACAAAAAAGUGACUUCAUGGUGCUCUGGGUUAUUAUAUUUAUAUUUCUUCAUCUUCAUUCAGCAUGAGACAGUAGAUAGGCUGAUAAUAUAAUGAAAAAUUAAGACUAAAUUUCAGGAAGAACUAUCUGAAAAGAAAUCAUUAUUACUAUAGGGCCUGGCCACCAAGGAAAAUGGCAUCCUUUCCCUUCUCUUGAAUUUAAGGAGAUGCUUCUGUCCCAGGGAAUUUAGGUAUAUCAUUCUCUCUCUCUUUUUUUUUUUUUUUUUGAGAUGGAGUCUCGCUCUCCCGCCCAGGCUGGAGUGCAGUGGCGUGAUCUCAGCUCACUGCGAGCUCCGCCUCCGGGUUCACACCAUUCUCCUGCCUCAGCCUCCUGAGUAGCUGGGACUACAGGUGGCCGCCACCAUUCCAGGCUAUUUUUUUUUAUUUUUAAUAGACACAGGGUUUCACUGUGCGUGCUAAGAUGGUCUCGAUCUCCUGACCUCGUGAUCCACCUGCCUCAGCCUCCCAAAGUGCUGGGAUUACAGGCGUGAAACACUGCGCCUGGCCAGGUAUGUCAUUCUUGAACUGGGUGGCUUGCUAUGGUUUCACAACUUAAAGUUUGUUACUAGACAAACAGUUACAGACAUAUUCUCCAUUGCUCAAUGUAUUUUUCUAAGCUCAUGCUUACCAUUUCCACCCGCUUGCCAGCCAUCUUGUGACCACAUUUGUACAUAUUAGUGCUUUCAUCAGGGGGUAAGUGCAUCAAUAAGAGGAGAAGUUGAAAUUAGAUUAGUUAAUUUGCUACUUCAUUAACAGCUGUGGUAAAAAGUCCAAGGAGAAAAAAGAUUGAAACUAGCUAAAAUGAGGGGUUUGUAUUGUAAGUGAAUCUAAAUUAUCUAUGUCCCCUAUUCCUGCGGAUAACUGAGAGUCAGCUGUGCACACAUCUGUGGGUGUUUAUAAACAUUUACCAUCUGUGAGAAGCUUAUGGGGCGUAAAUGGUGGGCUAAUUAGUGAAAUGCUAGUCAUUUCUAAUGACAGUUGUUAUGGAUAAAGAUUUUAUCCAGGUUAAAUUGAUCUCAGAACCUCGAUCACGGGAGGCCACUCUACCUUUUAUGACAAGACUAAGUAGUUACACUAUGCUGAACAUGUCACACAUUAAGGAUGCACCAUAACUAGAUUAGACUGCUAGUUUAUGCAUGUUAAUGAGCUCUGUUCUUAAUAGACUGAAGUGUGGAUUGAGUAUUUGUCAGGGAAAAUGAGAAGUUGUCAGUCUGUUGAAAGGUCAACCAUUUCUAUAGUAAGACAUUUUCAUUUCUGUUCUACAAAUAUAUUAAGUACCUUCCAUUCAGAAAAUUAAGAGCAUAGACAGAAAACUAUGAGAUUCAUAAAUGAAAAGAGUUGUCCAUAUACAUACACACAUAUGUGCAUACAGAUAUAUUUCCCUAACUUCACCAUAUCAGUAACUUUUUCUAAACAUAUCUUUUACUGAUCCAUAUUGUGGGCAAACAUUCUAAACAGGUAAUUUUAAACUAAAUUCAUCCUAUAACCAAAGGGGGGAAAAAAACCAUACUGUAUAAGAAGAGAGUCAUAUUUACUGUGUAAUAAAAAGUAUCUUAAAGUAGAGAUUAUGUUGUAAAAGAGGACAGUGUCAUAGAACAAGUGAGUGGAAGAGUAGGCAAAACUUCAUUCCUUGGGUUCUAAUAAAGUUUGUUAUUAAUUUACAGAAUACAAAUGGAAUUUUCCAAAUUAGAAGGAAUCUUAUUGUGUAGAUAAGGAGAAUUAUGGUCUGAAGCUAACUGGCCUGCUAUUACUUAGCUACUGGUGGAGCAGGGACUGGAAUACUGAUAACCCAACUCCUAAACCUUAGCACCAAACAUUUCAUGACACCACUAUUAACAGAGAAUAGCAAUAUUGUAUAUAAUGUCAAUAGUUUUAGUAAAUGAAAAAAAAACACCCUAUGUAAAAUGUCACUCCUUCCCACACUUUCUAUCCCCCCAUCCCUACUUUAUUUUGUUCUCCUUAUAAGUUGUGGACUUCUAAUGCUGUUUAUUUAUCUUAAAUGUUGUCUGUCUCCUGCCAGAAUAUAUGCCCAUGAGGGCCGGGACACUCGCUUGUUUUAUUUUCUGCUGUACCCCUAGUGCCUAGGAUAGUAUCAUGACAUAAUAUGCGAUAAAUAAAUAUUUGCUGAAAGAAAGUUUUGAUAGAAAUACUUUUUUUCACCAUCACACUAAUAAUUCUGCUAAUGAAGGAAGUAUUUCAAUGCCCAUUUUUAUAAUUUCUUUUGUCAGAAAUUUAAUGGUCACAAAAGCAAAUCACACAGGAGCCUUGGGAAUGUCUUUCAGAAUGUUAGAUAAGGUGUAAUUAGUACCUAAUGAAAAAACAAUAACCAAAUACUGACUACAACAAUAUCACCUGCCAGCAAAAUAAACGAAUGCAGACUUCAAUAAUGAGAA
rnacentral:lncRNA from 10 species